rnacentral:snRNA from 1 species
GUCCCUUUGGGUACAUGCGAUAAAAUUGGAACGAUACAGAGAAGAUUAGCAUGACCCCUGCGCAAGGAUGACACGCACAAAUUGAGAAAUGGUCCAAAUGAUA